AGCGAACGCUGGCGGCAGGCUUAACACAUGCAAGUCGAGCGGGCCCUUCGGGGUCAGCGGCGGACGGGUGAGUAACGCGUGGGAACGUGCCCUCUGGUCUGGAAUAACCCUGGGAAACUAGGGCUAAUACCGGAUACGCCCUUUUGGGGAAAGGCUUGCUGCCGGAGGAUCGGCCCGCGUCUGAUUAGCUAGUUGGUGGGGUAACGGCCUACCAAGGCGACGAUCAGUAGCUGGUCUGAGAGGAUGAUCAGCCACACUGGGGCUGAGACACGGCCCAGACUCCUACGGGAGGCAGCAGUGGGGAAUUUUGGACAAUGGGCGCAAGCCUGAUCCAGCCAUGCCGCGUGAGUGAUGAAGGCCUUAGGGUUGUAAAGCUCUUUUAUCCGGGACGAUAAUGACGGUACCGGAGGAAUAAGCCCCGGCUAACUUCGUGCCAGCCGCCGCGGUAA
rnacentral:rRNA from 1 species